AUGCGAGCUCUGUAUGAUGGUUGUUUUUACUCCUUUGGUGAUCUCAAUUCCUCCAUUAUCACUCUGCUGCCAAAGAAAUCAGACUCCCUGGAGGUUAGCGAUUUCAGGCCCAUUAAUCUCAUUCAUUGGGUGGCAAAGAUUUUUGCCAAGGUGCUAGCUGUUCGUGUCGCCCCCCUCGUUCCCACUUUAAUAUCACAAGCCUAGACUGCUUUCGUAUGCAAACGCAAUAUGCACGAGAACUUCAAAUUUGUGUGCAAUGCGGCCAGAUGGCUC
rnacentral:rRNA from 1 species